rnacentral:rRNA from 1 species
AGCUUGAAGUUUGAUUCUUGCUUGUAAUUUUUAUAUUAUGAUUGAAUAAUACAUGAAAAUUUUAGUGUUCCUUUAUAUUUAAAUUAAAAAUUUUAAUAUAUAAUAAAUCUCAGUAUUUAAUUUUAAAAAAUUAAUUAAAAUUAGAAUUGGCUAUCAUUUUAAUUCUGACUAAAAUUUGUGCCAGCAGUCGCGGUUAUACUUAGGGGGUGAAUAAAUAUAAUUUGGUUCUAUAGUAAAUUAUUUGUUAAUUAAAAUUUAUUAUUUUUUUUGAAAGAGUGAAAUCAGAAUUUAAUAAUAAUAAUAAUUUUUAAAAAAAACUAAAAAAAACUAUAAAUUUUAAUAUAUAAACUAGGAUUAGAUACCCCCCUAU